UACAGAGGUCUCAAGCGUUGUUCGGAUUCAUUGGGCGUAAAGGGUGCGUAGGCGGCGCGGUAAGUCGGAUGUGAAAUCUCGGAGCUUAACUCCGAAACUGCAUUCGAUACUGCCGUGCUUGAGGACUGGAGAGGAGACUGGAAUUUACGGUGUAGCGGUGAAAUGCGUAGAUAUCGUAAGGAAGACCAGUGGCGAAGGCGGGUCUCUGGACAGUUCCUGACGCUGAGGUGCGAAAGCGUGGGGAGCAAACAGG
rnacentral:rRNA from 1 species